UGAGGACGGUUAAAUUUAUCCAAAAUGACCCAAAUUUACAUAGACUAAUGCGUGGAAUUUUUGCUGGAGCAUUUAAGUAUCUAGAAUCAAUUAACAAUAGUAAUUUAAUUAGGGAACUACUACCUUUAAGUUCGACCAGAAAUUCAAGAGCAAACCUAUUUUAAAGCAUCUGUUCUGGCCUGGUUUCUCUACUUCUAAGCUUUACCGAUAUUUCAACAGAAAAUCCAUCUUUAAAAAAGAGAGAAAAAAGAAAAAGAAAAAAGAACAUUGUCCCUGGACCAUCAAUGCCAACUCUUAAUUAACAACCCAAAAACCACUAAGCAGACGCCGAAUCUGGAAGCAAAGCAGACCUACCCGGGAAUAGCGAGUUGAGCGGAGAGCUACGACCUGGGCACAGAGCAUCGGACCAUCGACGAGUUGCCGGCUCAGGGAACCGUGAAAACGGCAGAUCCGGAAAUAGAGAAGCCGAAACACCUCAAAUCUGGUUUCCACUGCCGGAAUGAGCUUAUAAGAUCAACAUAGAUGGAUCAUACAUACCUGGUUUGCUGGAGAACUCCAUAGCUUGCAUAUGCCGAGAUUCGGUUGGGAGAAUGGUGGGAGGAGCGGCUGAAUCGGUCAGAGCUUCCUCUUCCUUGAUGGCUGAAACCCUUGUGGGAAGCCCUCAACUACUUCUUUUCUAAAAGACAGGAAGUGCUUAUUAUUGAGUCAGAUAACUUGCAAGUAGUCAAAACCAUUAACAG
rnacentral:lncRNA from 1 species